GGCGGCGUGCCUAACACAUAGCAAGUCGAACGGAGAAUAUACGCUUCAGAAGCUUCGGCAGAUGAUUGUAUAUUCUAGUGGCGGACGGGUGAGUAACGCGUGGGCAACCUGCCUCAUACUGGGGGGAUAACAGCUGGAAACGACUGUUAAUACCGCAUAAGCGCACAGUGUCGCAUGACACAGUGUGAAAAACUCCGGUGGUAUGAGAUGGGCCCGCGUCAGAUUAGCCAGUUGGCGGGGUAACGCCCACCAAAGCGACGAUCUGUAGCCGGCCUGAGAGGGCGGACGGCCACAUUGGGACUGAGACACGGCCCAAACUCCUACGGGAGGCAGCAGUGGGGGAUAUUGCACAAUGGAGGAAACUCUGAUGCAGCGACGCCGCGUGAGUGAAGAAGUAUUUCGGUAUGUAAAGCUCUAUCAGCAGGGAAGAAAGGCUCGUAAGAGAGAUGACGGUACCUGACUAAGAAGCCCCGGCUAACUACGUGCCAGCCGCCGC
rnacentral:rRNA from 1 species